GACGAACGCUGGCGGCGUGCUUAACACAUGCAAGUCGAACGGAAAGGCCCUGCUUUUGUGGGGUGCUCGAGUGGCGAACGGGUAAGUAACACGUGAGUAACCUGCCCUUGACUUUGGGGUAACUUCAGGAAACUGGGGCUAAUACCGGCUAGGAGCUCCUGCUGCAUGGUGGGGGUGGGAAGGAUUCGGCGGUUGGGGAUGGACUGGCGGCUUAUCAGGUUGUUGGAUGGGUAGUGUCUUAGCAAGGCUAUGACCGGUAGCCUGGCUGAGAGGGGGACCUGCCACAUCGGGACGGGGAUGCGGCCCAGACCCCUACGGGAGGCAGCAGUGGGGAAGAGUGCAUUAUGGGCGGAAGCCUGAUGCAGCAACGCCGCGUGGGGGAUGACGGCCUUCGGGUUGGAAUCCGCUGUCGUCUGUGACGAAGCGUGAGUGACGGUAAUGGGUAAAGAAGCACCGGCUAACUACGUG
rnacentral:rRNA from 1 species